AGAUUGAACGCUGGCGGCGUGCCUAACACAUGCAAGUCGAGCGGUAACAGGUGUAGCAAUACAUGCUGACGAGCGGCGAACGGGUGAGUAAUGCUUUGGAAUCUUCCCAGUAGUGGGGAAUAACCAGUCGAAAGAUUGGCUAAUACCGCAUACGUCUGUAAAGGGAAAGCGGGGGCUCGUAAGACCUCGCGCUAUUGGAUGAGCCAAAGUCGGAUUAGCUAGUUGGUGGGGUAAUGGCCUACCAAGGCGACAAUCCGUAGCUGGUCUGAGAGGACGACCAGCCACACCGGAACUGAGACACGGUCCGGACUCCUACGGGAGGCAGCAGUGGGGAAUAUUGGACAAUGGGGGAAACCCUGAUCCAGCGACGCCGCGUGUGUGAAGAAGGCCUGCGGGUUGUAAAGCACUUUUUAGUGGGGACAAAAAGCUACGGACUAAUAUUCUGUGGUCUUGAUUUAACCCAAAGAAAAGCACCGGCUAACUCUGUGCCAGCAGCCGC
rnacentral:rRNA from 1 species